rnacentral:lncRNA from 1 species
GCAAUUCUCCUAGUUCUUGUUGGAUGUAUAGUAAUAUUGCCCUAAAAAAAAGGCAUUGAACAAUGUAAAACAUUAGAAGCAAACCAGUGGCCAAAGAAGCAGCGAAUGCGUACAUCCUCUACAAAUAUCGAAGAUGAUGGAUUAAGUAUUUAAGUUACUAACACAGAGAAACAAAAAUAGACCCAAGGCAGAAUCGAGGAGAAACCUGAAUAGGAGAGAGAGAACAGAGACACUCCGAUCCAUCCUCAAGGAAACUAUCGGAUGAAGAGAUCGUUCAGCCUCUACAUCUUUCUAGUACUGUUUUAGUUUUUACCGGAUGAUCGGACUAUCGGAGAAUUCACCGUUGAAAAUAAAACCAAAAUGUGGCUCGCACCUCUUGAUCAAUGAUGAUGUGUGAAUCAUCUCUCAACUCUUGGGCCACGUUAAGCCCAAGUCCAAUAAGGGUAAUUAAUUUGAUAAUCGCUC